GUGCAGCAGUCGAGAAACCUCCGCAAUGCACGCAAGUGCGACGGGGGAACCCCAAGUGCCACUCUUAACGGGGUGGCUUUUCAGAAGUGUAAAAAGCUUCUGGAAUAAGGGCUGGGCAAGACCGGUGCCAGCCGCCGCGGUAACACCGGCAGCUCAAGUGGUAGCCGCUUUUAUUGGGCCUAAAGCGUCCGUAGCCGGUCUGAUAAGUCUCUGGUGAAAUCCCACAGCUUAACUGUGGGAAUUGCUGGAGAUACUAUCAUGACUCGAGGUCGGGAGAGGCUGGAGGUACUCCCAGGGUAGGGGUGAAAUCCUGUAAUCCUGGGAGGACCACCUGUGGCGAAGGCGUCCAGCUGGAACGAACCUGACGGUGAGGGACGAAAGCCAGGGGCGCGAACCGGAUUAGAUACCCACGUAGUCC
rnacentral:rRNA from 1 species